UACGAAGGGGGCUAGCGUUGCUCGGAAUGACUGGGCGUAAAGGGCGCGUAGGCGGCCCGGUAAGUCGGGCGUGAAAUGCCGGGGCUCAACCCCGGGACUGCGUCCGAUACUUCCGAGCUGGAGGUAGGUAGGGGAGAUCGGAAUUCCUGGUGUAGCGGUGAAAUGCGUAGAUAUCUGGAGGAACACCGGUGGCGAAGGCGGCAUCCUGGACCGACACUGACACUGAGGAGCGAAAGCCAGGGGAGCAAACGGG
rnacentral:rRNA from 1 species